rnacentral:rRNA from 1 species
CACGUAGGGUGCGAGCGUUGUCCGGAAUUAUUGGGCGUAAAGAGCUCGUAGGCGGUGUGUCGCGUCGGCCGUGAAAACCUGCAGCUUAACUGUGGGCGUGCGGUCGAUACGGGCAUCACUGGAGUUCGGCAGGGGAGACUGGAAUUCCUGGUGUAGCGGUGAAAUGCGCAGAUAUCAGGAGGAACACCGGUGGCGAAGGCGGGUCUCUGGGCCGAUACUGACGCUGAGGCACGAAGGCCAGGGGAGCAAACGGG